ensembl:lncRNA
NCCUUCUCACACAGGAGGCCUAAGCCAGCUCCAUGGUUUUCUAAGGACCUAAGAGCCAUGAAGCGUGAGAGAAGGAGACUUGAGCGACAGUGGAGGAAAACACUAAACAAUUCUGAUAGGAAACGAGCAAAACAAUAUCUUAAGGCCUAUACGAGAGCUAUACAAGCUGCAAAGAAGUUAUAUCUGGCUGCCAGUAUUGCCUCUGCUCACAACCACCCGGCAGAGUUGUUUCGAGUAGUCAGAGAUCUGUUAAAACCAUCCCCAAUAGAAUAUGAGAACCACAUACCAGAUCGCUGUGAAGAAUUUGCAUGCCAUUUUUCGGGAAAGAUCACCCAGAUUCGUUCUGAGCUGGACUCUAAUAGUGUGGUAGGUACAGCAGAGAUAAUGCCAGCCCCUGCAGGUCCAGCAUUAAUGAAUACAUUUCAAUUAGUGCAGCCCGAGGUUGUGGACAAGAUCCUUGGGGAAGUGAGACCCACCACUUGUGUACUAGACCCCUGUCCAUCCUGGCUAAUCAAACAGGCCAGAAAAGGCUUGACUGAGUGGAUCGGGGAAGUGAUUAAUGCCUCCUUGCAACAAGGUACAGUCCCUGUAGGUCUGAAGNAGGCGGUGGUUAGANCACUGUUGAAGAAGCCAUCCCUAGAUCCUACUAUAUUAAACAACUAUAGACCAGUCUCCAACUUGCCGUUCCUGGGAAAGGUACUGGAACGUGUGGUGGCCUCCCAACUCCAGGGUCUUUUAGAUGAGACAGACUUUCUUGAUCCGUGCCAAUCUGGUUUUAGACCAGGCUAUGGGACAGAGACAGCCCUGGUCGCUCUGGUAGAUGACCUANGCCUGGAAUUAGACAAAGGGAAUGUAUCAUUGCUGAUUCUGCUAGAUCUUUCGGCNGCCUUUGACACCAUUGANCAUGGUGUCCUCCUUGGCNGUUUAGUUGGGUUGGGGGUUGGAGGGAUUGUGUUACAAUGGUUCCGCUCCUUUUUGGAGGGGCGGUUUCAAAAAGUUCUGCUGGGGGAUUCUUGUUCGAAUCUGUGGCCAUUGAACUGCGGGGUACCUCAGGGUUCAGUCCUGUCCCCUAUGUUAUUCAGUAUUUACAUGAAA